GAUACUUUGGCAAGAUGGCGGGGAGCGGCGUCCGCCAAGCUGCCUCUACCGCCAGCACCUUUGUGAAGCCCAUUUUCAGUCGGGACAUGAACGAGGCCAAGCGGAGGGUGCGCGAGCUCUACCGCGCCUGGUAUCGGGAGGUGCCGAACACUGUACACCAAUUCCAGCUGGACAUCACUGUCAAAAUGGGACGGGAUAAAGUCCGAGAAAUGUUUAUGAAGACCCCAGGGUGGUUGAUCUUCUGGUCAUUAAGGGAAAGAUGGAACUGGAAGAAACAAAGUAUGGAAGCAGCGGACACAUGUUAUGCGGUUCUUCCAUGAAACAGAAGCGCCAAGGCCGAAGGAUUUCCUAUCCAAGUUCUAUGUUGGCCAUGACCCAUAAAGUCACUCAGUGGAAAGGUGCAUGUUGAUAUUAUUUUAGAGCACAAAUAAACUCACUAUACGAUGGUCAAAAAAAAAAAAAAAAAAAAAAAAAAGAAA